rnacentral:snoRNA from 1 species
CUUCCUCUACCUUAAUCCAGUCACUAUGUGUUCAGUUGAGUGGUCUGGCAAUGAAAGAGGAUACAGCGUAAUGGCUCUCACCUCUCUCUCACCUCAGACCAU